GGUGGCUCAGUGGUAGAGUGCUUGCCUUGCAUGCAUGAGGCCCUGGGUUCAAUUCACCAGCACCA
rfam:Dipodomys ordii contig_35284, whole genome shotgun sequence.